rnacentral:tRNA from 1 species
GGCCUUAUCGUCUAACGGUCAGGACGCGGGCUUUUCAAGCCUGAAAUCGGGGUUCGAUUCCCCGUAAGGUCA